rnacentral:rRNA from 1 species
AGCGAACGCUGGCGGCAGGCUUAACACAUGCAAGUCGAACGAACCUUUCGGGGUUAGUGGCGGUCGGGUGAGUACCACGUGGUAACGUGCCUUUAGGUUCGGUAUCAUUCAGGUUAACUUGUGCUCAUAACGCUUGUGCUCUUCGGGGGUAAGAGUUCUCGCCUUUUGAGCGGCCUGCGACUGUUUCGCUAGUUGGUUGUGGUAAUGGCUCACCACGGCGACGAUCAGUGGCUGGUGGGUGCAGAUGAUCAGACACAUUGGAACUGAGACACGGCCCAAACGCCGACGGGAGGCAGGAGUAGAGAGUCUUGCGCAAUGAGCGAAAGCCUGACGCAGCCAUGCCGCGUGAAUGAGGAAGGUCUUAGUAUUGUGAAAUUCUUUCAGCGGAGACGAUAGUGACGGUAACCGGUGAAGAAGCCCCGGCUAACUUCGUG